UAGAUAUGUAUGAAUGACAUGAUAUAUAGUAUAGAUGGAUGUAAUGUGUGUAUAUGUAUGAAUACAUAUAGUAUAUACGAUGUAAUGUAUCCUUUAAUAUAUAUGGUGUGUUUGUAUACUGUACAUCCUUAUAUAAUGUACAUUGUAUAGGGAUUGGGAUAUGGUAUAUGGUAUAUUGGAUAAUGAAGAAUGGAUAUAUAAUGUAUAAUGAUUUGCAGAAUGUAUUAGAUACAAACACUGUAUUGGAUAUAGUUUUUAUAAUCGAGAAAGGAUGAGACACAAGUGAGGAAGUGUUAGCUCACUUUGCUCUUAUUUAGUUUUAUUUCUAUUUUUUGGGGGGGGAAGUGUAAAGAUCACUUUGUUUUCUGUUUAAUUUUGCCUAUAAUGUUUUUUAUGUUUUCUGAUUGUAUUUAUAAUUGUCGGACCCCAGGAAGAAUAGCUGUAGUAGUACUGCAGCUAAUGGGGAUCUUAAUAAAGAACAAAGAUCAUCAGUAUGAAGACGCGAGUUCACCGAGUGCUCAGAGCACAUGAAACUGUGAGUAAUGACAAUCCCCACCCUGCUCGGCUAAGUAACGUUAGCGCAAGCUCUGCCUCUCAACACAGUAAUCCGACAGUGAGACUGCCAAAGCUAAUGAUCGAAAAAUUCAACGGAGAUGUAAGUUUAUGGCAGGAAUUUUGGAUCCAGUACGAGACUGCUAUUCACAGUAAUGAUGCCCUAUGCAAAAGAGAGAAGUUUACCUACCUGAAAACGUACCUCUCAGGAACGGCUGCAAAGACAAUAGCAGGGCUCACCUUGACAGACAGUAACUAUGAUGCUGCCAUUGAUAUACUCCAAAACAGUUUUGGAAGGAAAGAUCUCAUUGUAAACGCCCACAUGCCAAAGCUGUUGAAUCUCACUCCUGUGAAGAUUAUAUGAUGAAUGCGAAAUUCAAAUCAGAAGCCUAGAAUCACUGGGAGUGGUAUCAGACACCUACGGAGGCAUGUUAUGCCCAAUACUGCUCCAGAUGAUGCCGGAGGACCUGGCUCUGGAUUACAGCGAUCAGAGGGGAGAUGAUGAUGAGUGGAGAGUGCCUCAUGUGCUGAAGUUCCUACAGAAAGAGGUUCUGAGGAGCUGAGAGAGAGCUUUGCAAAUGGUGAGAUCAUAUAACCUGAGAGAGAGCCAGUCUGCUCACAAAACAUGCAGCAAAUCAUAUUCAGCCAGCGACAAGAAACUAAAGAAACCAAGCAUGACAUCAGCGGCAGCACUUCACACUGCCAACCAGAAGACACAAAACUGCCUGUUCUGUGAUAGUGCUGAACACAAAUCUGAAAUCUGUCCAGACCACCAGGUGGCAGCAUUUAAGGAAAAGCUGAAGAAGCUUGGCAGGUGCUAUGUGUGUCUAGGACCCAAACACAUUGCAAAGUUCUGCAGGUCAAAGGGUGUGUCAUGUGCCACAUGUGGAGGCAGGCAUCAUGCAGUGAUUUGUGAGAAAGUUGAGGCACCCCCACCUGCCGUUUCUGAAAACACAGACACUGUUAUUUCUUCAGUAAUUCCCCAAGCAGAAAAAAGCAAGCCUGAUAUAAUGAGAACACUGUGCUGCUACAAAACGCCAAGGCGUGGGUCGUAGGGCCCACAGGCAGGAAGAUAGUCUGCUGCUUGUUAGAUGGAGGCAGCCAGGGGAGUUUUGUACAUGAGAAUGUGGUAAGGGCGCUGAAGUUACCUGUCACUAAACAAGGGGCAUUCACUCUCCACACAUUUGGCUCCUCUGCUCCAACAACAGUGAAGCGCAACAUAGGGAAGCUCAGCUUGGAGAAUGUCUCGGAUAAACGGCAGAACAUUGAAAUAGAGGCAGUUGUGACCCCUCAAGUGUGUACGGCAGUGAUGAAAGUCCCUGGUGAGCAUAUACAGAAAGAGAUGAAAAAGAGAGGUCUCCAACUCGCAGAUUUCCCUGGAGAGGACAAACCUGAACUUUCUGUGCUGAUUGGCUCAGAUUACUACUGGCAGAUAGUAUCGGGCCGAGUAGAGAGACUGACAGAGAGCCUGGUGACGCUAGAGAGCACCUUCGGAUGGGCAGUGCAGGGCCCAGUAGCAGUAUCCAGCAUGACAGAGACAACAUGUAUGCAUAUUCAGCUCAGUGAGGAUGCACAGAUUGACCAGCAGCUGCAUGCAUUCUGGGAGCUUGAGUCACUGGGCAUCACAAGUGAGAAGCCUGAGAGCCCAGAGGAUGUGGAAGCGUUGCAGCGAUUCGAGGAAACCUCCAUCUUCAAGGGUGGGCGUUACCAAGUGGAGUUGCCAUGGCAACAAAACCAUCCUCCACUCCAGGACAAUUACCGCAUCGCAAAAAAAAACAGCUUGAGGGUUUGAAACGGAAACUAAGAAAGGAUGUCACACUUUACAGCAGAUACAACGAUGUAGUGGAGGACUACUUAAAACAAGGAAUGGCUGAGGAUGUGCCUAAGGAGCAUACAUCACCACCAAGCAGUGAGACAUAUUACUUACCUCAUCACACUGUAUUGUGGGCGGAUAAGGUGACAACAAAACUGUGGGUCGUGUUUGAUGCUUCAUCCCACGAAGAAGGAAGUCCCUCACUAAAUGACUGUCUUUUAACAGGACCCAAUCUGAAUCCAGAUCUGAUGAGUGUUUUGAUCAAGCUCAGACUGCAUGAAAUAGCAUACAUUGCAGACAUCAAGAAAGCAUUUCUGCAGAUAUCACUGUCAGAACGAGACCGGGAUGCUGUGAGAUUUCUGUGGUUCACAGGCCCACCAACAGAGGAGAAGGAUGAGAAGCUGCGCGUGCUGAGAAUGACAAGAGUGGUGUUUGGAGCUUCGUCAAGCCCAUUCUUACUUGCAGCCACCGUAAGGAAGCAUUUGAAACCAUACGAGCCAGAACACCCACAAGUGGUAGAAACCAUCAGCUCCUCACUUUAUGUGGAUGACUUUAUUUCAAGUGCAAGUGAGGUGACAGAGGCUCAUGCAGUGACAACAACAGCCAAGAACAUUAUGUCUGCUGCGGGCAUGGAUCUAUGCAAAUGGAUGACGAACUCUCCUGAGCUCAAAGAAAAAUGGCAGGAAAGCCUGAUGGAUUGCACGUUAGAGCCAGAGACACAUGGGUCAGUGCUGAAAGUUCUGGGCUUGGUGUGGAGACCAGCAACUGAUGAUUUUGUGUUUGACCUUAGGGGGCUGCUUGUUAUACAGAACGAAAGAGAGAACACAAAACGAAGUGUUUUGAAGUCCUCUGCUCUCAUUUUCGACCCUCUGGGAUUCUUGACCCCCUUCACCAUCAGGAUAAAAUGCCUGUUUCAGGAAAUGUAGGAGAGAGGGCUCAAGUGGGACGAGGAACUGCCACCUGAUUUGACAAAAAAAUGGCAGCAGUGGUGUUCAGAGCUCCCUCAACUGCACCAGCUGUCAAUCCCACAGUGGUACAAAACACACACGCAGCAGCAGAAUGACCAAGAUCUAAGGCUACACUUAUUCUGUGACGCCAGUGAAAAGGCGUAUAGUGCAGUGGCUUAUCUGCAGGGAGAGACAAAGGAUGGAGAAAUGACCAUAAGCCUGGUUGCAUCCAAGUCCAAAGUGGCUCCACUCAAAAGGAUGACACUGCCACGUCUGGAGCUGAUGGGAGCUGUAAUAGCAGCCAGGCUGGGGAGCACCCUCAUGAAAGCCCUGGAACUAGACAGAACACAACUCAGACUAUGGACAGACUCCAUGUUAGUGCUACACUGGAUUUGCAGUUCUGCUCACAAGUGGAAACAGUUUGUAUUAAACAGAGUGACAGAAAUCCAGUCUCAAACCAACCCAAAGUCAUGGUCACACUGCCAAGGGAAAAUGAACCCUGCUGACCUUCCCACCAGAGGUCUAACGGUGCAGGAUCUGAAGCAGAGCACAUUGUGGUGGAACGGACCUUGUGUUCUGAUGUCACCUGAGCAGUCAGAGAGCACUCAGGAUGCUGUUCAGGAAGAUGAGAUGAACUCUGAACUCAGAUCCAAAUACCAGGUUGCUGUACAGCUUGUUAAUCAAGACACAGAGCUCCUUAAACCUGUGUUAUAUCUGGAAAGGUACAGUAAACUGAAAACAGUGUUCCGAGUGACAGCCUGGAUAAAGAGGUUUAAAAACAACACACGCUCAAGCACAAAAAUGUGUGGUGAACUGACAGCAGAAGAGCUGCAUGAAGCAGAAAAACAAUGGAUGAAAGUAACUCAGAACCAGAGUUUCCGCCCAGAAACUGCCCUUCUGAAGGCAGGAAAAUUCCUCAACACUGACUCCAGAAUCCGAGAGCUAAAACCAUUUCUGGAUGAAGAUGAGCUGCUCAGUGUGGGAGGAAGGCUCCAGCAUUCUGAUUUUUCUUACAGAGAAAAGCAUACAUGGAUUUUGCCCGAUGACCACAGAUACACAGAAAUGUGCAGUAUCAACAUGAGAAGAUAAUGCACGCAGGUGUACGAGACACUUUAGUGCAGACCAGAGAAAGAUACUGGACCAUGAGGGCACGGCAGGUAGUCAGGAAAGUUGUGUCCAGAUGUGUACUUUGCAGGAAAUUCAAAGCAAAGGCGGGACAACAGACUACAGCACCACUGCCAAAGAACAGAAUAACAGAGUCACCACCAUUCAAGGUCACAGUUGUGGACUUCGCAGGGCUGCUCUAUGUGAAGGCGCAGGGCUCCAUGACAAAGUCAUACAUUGCACUGUUCACAUGUGCUGUAACCAGAACGGUACACUUAGAGCUGGUCUCGGAUCUGUCCACUGAGAACUUUAUGCUGGCCCUGAAAAGAUUCAUCUCGAGAAGAGGGUUAUGCAAGGUUAUCUACUCAGAUAAUGCCAAGACAUUUAAGAGAGCUGAUCAAGACUUGAAGGAGCUGUGGAGAAGCAUUAAGGAUCCUCAGCUACGAUAGUUCUUCUCAGAAAAGGGCAUCACCUGGCGGUUCAUCGCUGAAAGAGCGGCCUGGUGGGGCGGAUUCUGGGAGAGGCUUGUAAGAUGGAAAUACUUCUGAAUCAGAUCCUCUUCUGUGGGGCUGUCCUAUGCUGACCCUGACAAACAAAGGGAGAAAAAGAUCAAGAGACAACAUUUUCAGCAAGAACAGGCUGCAGCACAUUAUCCAGUCUGCAGAGAAGACCUUCAGCUGCAAUCUGCCGUGUCUUGUGGACCUGUACACAUUGGGCCUCAUUCUGCAAACAAAUUUAGAACUUCCUCAGACCAUGCGUAUGCAUAAAUUAUGACAGCCUGGCUGUCUUACAAAAUAUUGAAACUUGCCUUUUAACUAAAUGUAAAGCAUAUCAAAACCACAUUCAUUAAAAAAAACUUUAAUAGAA